rnacentral:misc_RNA from 1 species
AGUUAAGUGUUGAUGAGAGAAGGUUAACGGAUUCGACUUACAGUGAGACCGUGAUGGUGAAAAACGGUCAGUCAAAGUCGUUAAUUGGCGCUUUCGGAGCUUUAAUACCGUGUAAUUAAGCUGCUGAGGUUACUCAGAAGUAGGGUGGAACCGCGAAACCAAUCGUCCCUAUG